rnacentral:other from 2 species
UAUUAACUGCGGUGUUCGUGAUAGCAGACUAUAUGGCAGAACCGAUGAGAGAACACAGGGAAGCCAAAUCCCAAAGGCUCGUACAUGCCCGCAAGACGGGACUUAUGGACUCUGGUAAUGGCUGCCCACCUAAAAUUUAGGGUUCUCGCAAAUUCUCUCCUACACGGCACAGGCGGUAUACCU